CUGUCCUCAAUCUGUCCUCUGUCUGUCCUCAAUCUGUCCUCAAUCUGUCCUCUGUCUGUCCUCAAUCUGUCCUCUGUCUGUCCUCUGUCUGUCCUCAAUCUGUCCUCAAUCUGUCCUCUGUCUGUCUGUCUGUCUCAGGUUGUGUUCACUGGGAGGCUGCUGAGCCCCCUUCAGUUGCUAAUGCUAACGUCCUGCUUGACUGCCAUUGCCAAUACUGUUGUUGCUGUGCACCUGUCUGUCUGUCUGUCGCUCUCUCUCUCUCUCUCUCUCUCUCUCUCUCUCUCUCUCUCACCCCCCAACUGGUCGAGACAGACGACCACCCACCUAGAGCCGGAGGAUCUGUCCUAGGUUUCUGCCUUUUAACAGGCAGUGUUUCCUUGCCCUUGUCUCCAAGGUCUUGCUCAUGGUGGUACUGUUGGGUCUCUGUAAUUAAUGUUAAAGAGUUCGGUCUAGACCUGCUCUAUUUGAAAAGUGUCCUGAGAUAACUUCUGUUAUGAAUUGGCGCUAUACAAAUAAAAUUGAAUUGAAU